CUCAUAUUUAAGCAAAGGAGAAACAGGAAGUGCCCUCUUUUCCCCUCCCCUCCUGCUCCAACGGCACGAUGUGAUCCACAGCAAGGAGGGAUGCCAAUAAGGCGUUUGAUAAGAAACAUACUUCCUGUAUGUCACACUAUUUUUCUUUGGUCACUGAAUGCUGAAGGCUUUCCCUCGUUGAUGCUGAAUAACAAUAGAUUCUUCAAAUCUUUUCAUUCCAUCAUCACCAGAAUCCCUGAAGCUCCUGCAGCUGAGCCCCAGCACUUCCCAGUUGUCACAUACCACUCUGAGCCAUAAAAGAAGACAAGCGAAAAAGAUGUCUUUACUGUGAGAAGGAAAAUAUGAGCACUCACCCAUCAGGUGUCGCCAUCUCCACUUUCCUUUCACUUGUGUAUCUGUUUAUGCUGGAAAAUGUUUGAUAAUAAGACCAAUAAAGGUGGGAUGAUAUGGGGUGAUUGGAG
rnacentral:lncRNA from 1 species